rnacentral:rRNA from 1 species
UGCAUAUCAAAUAAGCGGAGGAAAAGAAACCAACAGGGAUUGCCUUAGUAACGGCGAGUGAACAGGCAAGAGCUCAGAUUUGAAAGCCUUUCGGGGCAUUGUAUUCUGAAGCCUUGAUUCUGAGAACCGGUACCUAAGUCUUCUGGAAAGGAGCGCCAAGGAGGGUGAUAGCCCCGUACGGUACUGACCUCAUUGUAGAAUCUUGGCGUGGAGUCGAGUUGUUUGGGAAUGCAGCUCAAAUGGGUGGUAUGCUCCAUCUAAAGCUAAAUAUCUGCGAGAGACCGAUAGCGAACAAGUACUGUGAAGGAAAGAUGAAAAGAACUUUGAAAAGAGAGUGAAAAAGUACGUGAAAUUGUUGAAAUGGAAGGAUAGGCCGCUAACCACGUAGAGCCGUGUCUGAGGGGAGGAUAAAAGCUGUAGAAUGUGGCUCUUCGGAGUGUUAUAGCUGCAGUGCAUACUCCCACUCGGGCGCGAGGACCUAAGGCUCUGCUAAAUGGUGGUCUAUCACCCGUCUUGAAMCACGGACCA